rnacentral:rRNA from 1 species
UACGUAGGCAGCAAGCGUUGUUCGGAAUUACUGGGCGUAAAGAGUGUGUAGGCGGUGCUCCAAGUCUGGUGUGAAAUCUCCCGGCUUAACUGGGAGGGUGCAUUAGAAACUGGAAUGCUAGAGGAUGGGAGAGGUAAGCGGAAUUCCUGGUGUAGCGGUGAAAUGCGUAGAUAUCAGGAGGAACACCGGUGGCGAAGGCGGGUCUCUGGGCCGAUACUGACGCUGAGGAGCGAAAGCGUGGGGAGCGAACAGG